rnacentral:rRNA from 1 species
GAUGAACGCUGGCGGCGUGCCUAAUACAUGCAAGUAGAACGCUGAAGGAGGAGCUUGCUCUUCUGGAUGAGUUGCGAACGGGUGAGUAACGCGUAGGUAACCUGCCUGUUAGCGGGGGAUAACUAUUGGAAACGAUAGCUAAUACCGCAUGACAACAGUUAUUGCAUGAUAACUGUUUAAAAGGGGCAACUGCUCCACUACCAGAUGGACCUGCGUUGUAUUAGCUAGUUGGUGAGGUAACGGCUCACCAAGGCGACGAUACAUAGCCGACCUGAGAGGGUGAUCGGCCACACUGGGACUGAGACACGGCCCAGACUCCUACGGGAGGCAGCAGUAGGGAAUCUUCGGCAAUAGACGGAAGUCUGACCGAGCAACGCCGCGUGAGUGAAGAAGGUUUUCGGAUCGUAAAGCUCUGUUGUAAGAGAAGAACGAGUGUGAGAGUGGAAAGUUCACACUGUGACGGUAUCUUACCAGAAAGGGACGGCUAACUACGUG